rnacentral:rRNA from 1 species
UAUUGGACAAUGGGCGCAAGCCUGAUCCAGCAAUACCGCGUGUGUGAAGAAGGCCUUAGGGUUGUAAAGCACUUUCAAUUGGGAGGAAAACCUGCCGGUCAAUACCCGGUAGCUUGACAUUACCUUUAGAAGAAGCACCGGCUAACUCCGUGCCAGCAGCCGCGGUAAUACGAAGGGGGCUAGCGUUGCUCGGAAUUACUGGGCGUAAAGGGCGCGUAGGCGGACAGUUAAGUCGGGGGUGAAAGCCCGGGGCUCAACCUCGGAAUUGCCUUCGAUACUGGCUGUCUUGAGUACGGGAGAGGUGUGUGGAACUCCGAGUGUAGAGGUGAAAUUCGUAGAUAUUCGGAAGAACACCAGUGGCGAAGGCGACACACUGGCCCGUUACUGACGCUGAGCGCGAAG